AGGCUGGCAGGGAGAAGGUCUCUAGCAAGCGGCCAGGGGAAGAGAGCUUCUGCACAGCAGAAAUACCCAGGAACGCUGUGGCUGCUGGUCAGACUGUUGCUAAUGAGGCUCCAGGAGUCUACAAGAUGAAAAGCACUGGGCAUCCACACAGUUUUUUAACCAGAUGUUCUGGAACCACAACACUGUUCCAGUUGUGCCUUAUAUUAUCAUCUGUCUAUCUUCUGUGGGAAUUAUGUGGCCUCAUCACUGGAUAUCUAAGCACACAUGGCAAGUAUAUGAAAACAGGAACAGUGCCAAUAUCUCUCAUGUAGUCGAAAAGGCUUGUUUAGUACCCCAAGAUCAAACACUGUUGUCUUGUACUGUCAUGUGAUUCCUGUUGCCUGUGUAACUUCCCUGUAGUUGAUGCCUUGGUGUUGUGUUUUGUUUAGUUUUAAAGGGUAGGAAUGAAAGAGAGAUUUUUAAGACCAUGUAAUUUAAAACAGAGAACAAUGUAGACUCCCAGGAGUUGAUUUUUAAGUUGAAUUUUAUCCUUUCUCUACCUCUCUACCUAUUUAAGACUUACUUUCUAUGCAUGUCUAAUAUGGAAAAGGGAAAAAUCAUUUUAACCCAAACAUUUGAAAACCACACUAUUUUGACCAGAUAUAGAAACAUAUUGAUUUAUAAAUACACAGCCAAAUAGAAACCAAAUAAAUAAAUAAGGAAAUAGAAUGCUGUCGCUGUGUUUUAUGGAAGUGGUAGUUCAGGUGCCUCAAUGUUUUAUUCUUUAUAGGGAAGGCUUCCUGGUCAGACUAUAUCUCCCUCCCUCGUGGAACAUGCAUCAUGGGAAUCUAUGACUGCAGUUGCUGGCAGACAUAGUCUUACCAUAGAAUCUACUUUAUAGAGCAGUGAUUCUCAGCCAGGGUGCUGUGAGAUACUUUUAAGUGUACUGUGGGGAGCCACACAAUGUUAGCACGGUUAGGUGUACAAACAUGUUUCAUUAGAUAAACCUAGAGAUUUAGUGUUAAAUAUAUUCUGACCUAAUGUGAUCUUUCUGAGUUCUUUGUAAAAGAAGCUCUAUUAUUUUUAUGUAAUAAAUUAGUGAAAACUAA